GAUGAAGGACGCAGCGAAAUGCGAUAAUUAAUGUGAAUUGCAGAAUUCCGUGAAUCAUCGAGUCUUUGAACGCACAUUGCGCCUCAUGGCAUUCCGUGAGGCAUGCCCAUCUCAGCGUUAGAAAAUAUUCUCAAAUUUUAGUUUUGUGCUAAAAUUUGGAUCAUGUCAAGGAAGCUAUUACUAUUAUUGUGAUCGCUCUUUGGAAAUUGAUAGGUCUUUGAGUUGCUACUCAUAGAACGUGAUGAAUCUUUCUUCGUUCUAUUGUAAUUCACUCUGGUAGUCCUAAAACUUGUAUGCCUGUGGCAUAUCUUGUAAUUUGACCUGAGAUUGGGUAGGGAUACCCGCUGAACUUAAGCAUAUCAAUAAGCGGAGGA
rnacentral:misc_RNA from 1 species